rnacentral:rRNA from 1 species
UUUGAUCCUGGCUCAGAAUCAACGCUGGCGGCGCGCCUAACACAUGCAAGUCGAACGAGAAAGCGGGGGCAACCUCGUGAGUAAAGUGGCGUACGGGUGAGUAACACGUGGAUCAUCUACCCUCUAGUGGGGGAUAACCCUGGGAAACCGGGGCUAAUACCGCAUAAGCUCGAGAGAGGAAAGCAGCAAUGCGCUGGAGGAGGAGUCCGCGGCCGAUUAGCUAGUUGGUAGGGUAAAGGCCUACCAAGGCUACGAUCGGUAGCCGGCCUGAGAGGGCACACGGCCACACUGGCACUGAAACACGGGCCAGACUCCUACGGGAGGCAGCAGUGGGGAAUCUUGCACAAUGGGGGCAACCCUGAUGCAGCGACGCCGCGUGAGCGAUGAAGCCCUUCGGGGUGUAAAGCUCUUUCGGCAGGGAAGAUUAUGACGGUACCUGCAGAAGCAGCUGCGGCUAACUACGUGCCAACAGCCGCGGUAAUACGUAGGCAGCAAGCGUUGUUCGGAGUUACUGGGCGUAAAGGGUGUGUAGGCUGUUCUCUAAGUCUGGUGUGAAAUCUCCCGGCUCAACUGGGAGGUUGCACCGGAAACUGCAGGGCUAGAGUG